rnacentral:rRNA from 1 species
GGGGUUAAGACUUCGGUUUUAACUUAGUGGCGAACGGGUGAGUAACGCGUGAGGAACCUGCCUCUCAGUGGGGGACAACAGUUGGAAACGACUGCUAAUACCGCAUAAUGUUAUUGAACGGCAUCGUUUGAUAACCAAAGAUUUAUUGCUGAGAGAUGGCCUCGCGUCUGAUUAGCUAGUUGGUGGGGUAACGGCCCACCAAGGCGACGAUCAGUAGCCGGACUGAGAGGUUGACCGGCCACAUUGGGACUGAGAUACGGCCCAGACUCCUACGGGAGGCAGCAGUGGGGAAUAUUGGGCAAUGGGCGAAAGCCUGACCCAGCAACGCCGCGUGAAGGAAGAAGGCCUUCGGGUUGUAAACUUCUUUUACCAGGGACGAACACAAUGACGGUACCUGGAGAAAAAGCAACGGCUAACUACGUGCCAGCAGCCGCGGUAAUACGUAGGUUGCAAGCGUUGUCCGGAAUUACUGGGUGUAAAGGGCGUGUAGGCGGAGAUGCAAGUUGGGAGUGAAAUCCAUGGGCUCAACCCAUGAACUGCUUUCAAAACUGCAUCCCUUGAGUAUCGGAGAGGCAAGCGGAAUUCCUAGUGUAGCGGUGAAAUGCGUAGAUAUUAGGAGGAACACCAGUGGCGAAGGCGGCUUGCUGGACGACAACUGACGCUGAGGCGCGAAAGCGUGGGGAGCAAACAGGAUUAGAUACCCUGGUAGUCCACGCUGUAAACGAUGAAUACUAGGUGUGGGGGGACUGACCCCUUCCGUGCCGCAGUUAACACAAUAAGUAUUCCACCUNGGGGAGUACGACCGCAAGGUUGAAACUCAAAGGAAUUGACGGGGGCCCGCACAAGCAGUGGAUUAUGUGGUUUAAUUCGACGCAACGCGAAGAACCUUACCAGGAUUUGACAUCCAACUAACGAAGUAGAGAUACAUUAGGUGCCCUUCGGGGAAAGUUGAGACAGGUGGUGCAUGGUUGUCGUCAGCUCGUGUCGUGAGAUGUUGGGUUAAGUCCCGCAACGAGCGCAACCCCUAUUGUUAGUUGCUACGCAAGAGCACUCUAGCGAGACUGCCGUUGACAAAACGGAGGAAGGCGGGGACGACGUCAAAUCAUCAUGCCCCUUAUGUCCUGGGCUACACACGUAAUACAAUGGCCGUCAACAAAGGGAAGCGAAACCGCGAGGUGGAGCAAACCCCCAAAAACGGUCUCAGUUCGGAUUGCAGGCUGCAACUCGCCUGCAUGAAGCUGGAAUUGCUAGUAAUCGUGGAUCAGCAUGCCACGGUGAAUACGUUCCCGGGCCUUGUACACACCGCCCGUCACACCAUGAGAGUCGGGAACACCCGAAGUCCGUAGUCUAACCGCAAGGAGGGCGC